rnacentral:rRNA from 1 species
AAUCAACGCUGGCGGCGUGCCUAACACAUGCAAGUCGAACGCGAAAGGGGCUUCGGCCCUGAGUAGAGUGGCGAACGGGUGAGUAACACGUGGGUGACCUACCUUCGAGUGGGGGAUAACGUCCCGAAAGGGACGCUAAUACCGCAUAACAUCCUGCCUUUGAACAGGUGGAGAUCAAAGCUGGGGAUCGCAAGACCCGGCGCUUGAAGAGGGGCCCGCGUCCGAUUAGCUAGUUGGUGAGGUAAUGGCUCACCAAGGCUACGAUCGGUAGCCGGCCUGAGAGGGCGGACGGCCACACUGGGACUGAGACACGGCCCAGACUCCUACGGGAGGCAGCAGUGGGGAAUUGUUCGCAAUGGGCGCAAGCCUGACGACGCAACGCCGCGUGGAGGAUGAAGGUCUUCGGAUUGUAAACUCCUGUUGCCCGGGAAGAACGACCCUGACCUAAUACGUCGGGGUGUGACGGUACCGGGUGAGGAAGCCCCGGCUAACUCUGUGCCAGCCGCCGCCGUAAU